UCCAGACUUCCUACGGGAGGCAGCAGUGGGGAAUAUUGGGCAAUGGGCGCAAGCCUGACCCAGCAAUGCCGCGUGAAGGAAGAAGGCUUUCGGGUUGUAAACUUCUUUGACAGGGGAAGAGCAGAAGACGGUACCCUGAAAACAAGCCACGGCUAACUACGUGCCAGCAGCCGCGGUAAUACGUAGGUGGCAAGCGUUGUCCGGAUUUACUGGGUGUAAAGGGCGUGUAGCCGGGAAGGCAAGUCAGAUGUGAAAUCCGGAGGCUCAACCUCCGAAUUGCAUUUGAAACUGUUUUUCUUGAGUACUGGAGAGGCAGACGGAAUUCCUUGUGUAGCGGUGAAAUGCGUAGAUAUAAGGAGGAACACCAGUGGCGAAGGCGGUCUGCUGGACAGCAACUGACGGUGAGGCGCGAAAGCGUGGGGAGCAAACAGGAUUAGAUACCCCCGUAUA
rnacentral:rRNA from 1 species